AAAUGCUUUAUUAAUAUGAUCAUUUGAUUAUAGCAGAAUUGUAGUGGUUUUUAUAAAAUUAUUCUUAGUAGUUAUAUAAUUAUUCAUGGUUGUUAUAUUACCUUUAAUAGUUAUUGUUGUUGGAAAAAUAAUCUAGAAGUCCUUUGUUGGCUAAUGAUUCUCUAACAUUUUUUUAAAAAUUUUAUAGUAGUUGUAUUUUGAUUUGACAAUUUAGUUUAGUUUCUUUUAUUGACUCUUAUAGCUAAUUAAUAUUGACUUUCAUUAGAAUGUUGAUGAUGAUGUGAAUGAUGUGUUUUAAUGUUGAUUGUGUUGUGAUUCUAUUUUAUAAAAUAUUGUUUUAUGGUAAUCAUUAAUCAAUUGCUUUGUAUACACUCAUUUAUCAUAUUGCUGUAUGACAAAUCUUAAAGCCCUCUAAGAGAAAGGUUCCUGGGUUGCUUUGUGGAAAGUUUUAAACUCGCUCGCAAUGGUAAAGGAUGGAUCAAUGUGCUUUUAUGCAAGAAUUAUUAGUAAAUUCAUUUACGUGAAUUCUUAGUAUAAUUCUCUAGUUGAUUAUGACGAGUUUUUAACCUUUUCAGCUUAUGGCUGGUUCCCUAACAUUUCUUUUGCCUAUGGAUGAUAUGAAAAGCCCAACAAUCAAGGGCUCAACAUAAAGAAAGUCUUUUUUGAGUUUCCCUUCUAUUAUUCUUUUUGCUGGUAUUGAUAACAUAAGGAUUGAACUAUGAUGUGUUUAUCUGCAAUGGUGUUUGGAUUAGUUGGGUAACAUCGCAUAGUCAUCUUAUCAAAUUUCUAUACUUUGUCUUAAUAAGAGUGUUUAUUGUUUCCUUCAAUUUUUGGACUAUCGUUUCCUUCAAUUAAAUUUGGUGUUUGUGUUCAUUCCUUUUCAGCAAGUCCUGAGUCUUUGAGAUUUCUUUUGGUGGUUGAGGAACUACAGAAUGGUUGUAGAUCAGGAUAUCCUAAUUUCUCUAUACUUGAUCACCGAACAUUGAAUAGUGAUUUGUUCUUAUGCAGUAAACAUAAGGAUUUAAUUUUGAUUAUUUUCGUAUAAUGUCCUUUAUCUCAUGGAGUAUGUUAUGUGGCAUAAUAGUUUAAUUGUAAUUUGCUUCUUUGCAGCGUGAAAUUGGCUUACCGUAUUGCAUCUUAUGGGGUAUGUUAUGAGUGACCGUGUCUCCCUUAAUUUUUUAAUUUAUCUAAUAGUCCUUUAUUACCUGUUAUAGUUUUGUUGAAUUAUUGUUCUUUAUAGGGAUGUGUGGUAAUUAGCAAGAGCUCAGGACUAUUUGGUUUCAAUUUUUUUAUAACAAAACUUUAUUUUGCCUUUAUUAGUUUCCUUCAUUGACAAAUGAAUUUUGAACUUGGUUCUUGCAAAGCAUCAAUGUCCUUGCCUAAUUUGUGUUUCAAGAUUAUUGAUCUUUCGUAUUGAAGUUCUGAAAAUUUAGGUGGAGCAGUAUUGAAAAGAUGGAUCUUGAAGUUAUUCCUUUCAUUUUAGUAGUGUAAUUAGCAAGAGCUCAGGAUUAUUUGCCUCCAUUCUUUGAUUACAGAACUUUUUAUUUUGUUUGUUCCUGCAUCGACAAAUGAAUUUUGAACUUGUUCUUGCAUAAUUUAUCAUUGGGAGGAAAUGAAUUGGUGGUUUAGGUUUGGGAAACAGUGGAUCGGGACCCUGUGGAAAUUUAGGUUUUGUUCUAUGUUUAUUAUUUCUUUGCUGUUAUUAUUCACGGAUAAACUUGUGGACUGGGAAUGUUUACCUCUAUAUGACAGGCACUGUAAACGUCUGUGUCAGCUAUUUAAUUUUCUCUUUCUUGUCCACACUCAGACAUUUCUUUCAGCAACUGAGUCAUUUAAAAGAGAGUUUCGUUUCUUUUCAUGUUCUUUAUUGUCAAAAUAACCUUUCUUUCUUUCUUAUCAGCUAUAGUAUUUAGUUUCACUGUGAUCUCGGGAUGUGUUAUUUGGAAGUGAUGUGGUUAUUCAUCCAAGGAUUAAUGUGUUAUUUGGAAGUGAUGUGGUUAUUCAUUCAAGGAUUGAGUUCCAUUCUCUUCGACUUGCUUUUGUUUGUUGUGUUCAUUGCUAUCAAACAACUUUCUUCCUUUUAAAUGUAUGGAGUCUAUUUUUUUAAGAUGAAAUCCCCACUAAAUGUAAUGUUUUUUUUUUCUUUCUUUUUCAUCAUUGCCUAGUUAUUUCUGUUUCUCAUAGGCUUGGUCUCAUCCCUUCAACUUGCAUUUGUUUGUGUUCAUUGCUAUCAAACAGCUUUCUUCUUUUUAAAUGUAUGGAGCCUUUUUUGCUACGUCUAGAUGUUGAUUUUCUUGUGUUCAUUCAUUUUUAGGUGUUGAUUUGUUCGUGUUAAUUCCUUUUUAGCAUCUCGAGACUGCCGGAAUGGUUGAGGAUUAAAAUCUGAAAUUGUUUAGAACCACCAAUAAUUCAGGAUAACCUUCAACUUUGUUUUAGGUGUCAUUUGUUUUAUGUCUCUCUUUGUUUUAAAUGUCUUAUUGUCUCUAUACUUCAACUUUAUGAGCCGUUUGUAGCCUUCCUGAAUUCUUGGGGUGUACAGGACAAACAUGCAACAGAUGUGAGGUAGGAAAGAUGUGAGUAUCCUUGAAGCUUGAAUACUGGCAGGAGAUCCUUGAAGCUUUAGGUUUUGGUAUCCACACAUAUUUUUGUCUUUAAUUGGGACUGGCUAUUUGAAUUUCUCUGGUUUUUGAAUUCCUUCAAUUCAUUAAUUCAUUUUGUCCUUUCUUAAAUUCUGGGUCUUUAUUACCAAUAUCUAUUUGAAUUUAAAUAUAGUUCUUAAAUUUUUUAUGUAUAGGUGUUGAUUCGUUUGUGUUCAUUCCUUUUUAGCAUGUAAGACUGGUUGAGGAUUAAAAUCUGCAACUGUACACGAAAAAACAAGCAACGGAUGUGAGCUAGGAUAUCUGAAUACUGGAAGGACAUGCUUGAUUCUAUAGGUUAUCCAUACUCUUUGAUGACAGAUGUCUACUUGAGUUUGGAUGUAGUUAUUUAUUUGAUGACUGAGAUCUAUCAUAUGUAACUGUUUAUCUGCUUGUGUUAGUUCCUUUUCAGCAGGGGAUUCUGGUUUAGGAUAAAAAAACAUAAAUUUGAAUAUUGUUCUUGUCCGAUUAUCAAAAUAUGUAAAACCUAGCUAUUUGAUGUUGAUUCUUUUUUAGCACAUUAAAGGUUAAUAAUAAUACAAUACUCAGGGAAGAUGUCUCCUCUUUAUUUGAAACUUUGUAGAUUGAGCAUAUUUUUCGAGACUGAUAUAUGAGGUAGGAUGUGGAAACACUGGGAUUUGUGAAGCUUUAGGUUUUGUUAUCCUUACAUUUCUUAUGUUUUUAUUUGUGACUAACUAAACUUCUUGUUUGGAUGCUAAGUUUUGGUUGGAUUCAUUGCAGACCUUGUAGUGUGUCUGACAGUUCUUAUUGGUGUAUAUGUAGCAAUCACUAGCAGACUAUUAGAGGUCCUGUAAUUUGGGGAGGAUUUGUCUGACAGAAUUUCUAACAACUUAAUAUGAAGUACUGAAUUAAUAGUGAAAAAAAAGAUAAAGAAAAAAUAUCAUGGCCAUUAAAAGUUUAUGUUUCUUGUCCUGUUCAGCCAUGGCACUUGUCAGUGAGCUCUUGCUUCUUUCUCUAUUGCCCCAUAUGCAUACUUUUUCGCAUUUCUUACUCUUUUUUUAAGUUGUUCAUUUUUAAGUAAUUUAGGCUUCUCAUACUGGUUUCAUAGUGAAAUUUGAGCCUUUUACAUGGUGCCAUUGAAAUUAAGGAGGGAAUUAAUGAUCUUUAGUUUUAUAGUACUGAAUUAAUUUGGAUUUGCUUAGGUGUAGCAAAUUUGAAAGGUCAUUUUCUUAGUUAUUACUUCAUUUACUAAAUUAUCAAGAGCAUUGAACAAUUUGAUUUUGUAGUGUUUUGUUUGCUGCCUUGACAAAUGAAUCUUGCAUUCUAUUGUUUUUAGUAAUUUUGGGUUACAUUCUGAAUAUGACAUAUGAUGAUCUCUUAUAUCUUCCAAAAUGAGAAUGAUCUCCAACAUUAGAGCUGUAUUUAGUUCUAUCUCCAAUGUGAGAAUGAGAAAAUUGAGAGCUGUAUUUAGUUUUAUCUCCAAUUAUCUCUAAUAUUAGAAUGAGAAACAACAGUAGUUGAAAUGUUUUCUUGUAAUCUAUCUUCGUGUGCUAUGAUUCAGUUCUCUCUCCAUAUAUGAGAAUAAAAAAUGAGAAAGAGAAACAACAUUAUUUGGAAUGUUUUGUCGUAAUCUUCUUGCACUAUGAUUUUGUUCUCUCCCAAUAUGCGAAUGAGAAAAUGAAAAACAACAGUAUUUAGAAAGUUUUGUCGUAAUCUUGCGCUAUGAUUUGGUUCUCUCCUCAAUAUGCAAUGAGAAGAUGAGAAACAACAUUCCUUAACUUGUAAUUGAUUUUAUAUUAAUUGUUUAACUAUUCACUUCAUGUUUUUCUAAUUUGAAGAUAUCUCUUUACUAAAAACAAUGUAAUUAAUUUUAUAUUAAUUGUUUAGCUAUUCA
rnacentral:lncRNA from 1 species